rnacentral:rRNA from 1 species
GAUGAACGCUAGCUAUAGGCUUAACACAUGCAAGUCGAGGGGAAACGGCAUUAUGUGCUUGCACAUUCUGGACGUCGACCGGCGCACGGGUGAGUAUCGCGUAUCCAACCUUCCCUCCACUCGGGGAUACCCCGUUGAAAGACGGCCUAAUACCCGAUGUUGUCCACAUAUGGCAUCUGACGUGGACCAAAGAUUCAUCGGUGGAGGAUGGGGAUGCGUCUGAUUAGCUUGUUGGUGCGGGUAACGGCCCACCAAGGCGACGAUCAGUAGGGGUUCUGAGAGGAAGGUCCCCCACAUUGGAACUGAGACACGGUCCAAACUCCUACGGGAGGCAGCAGUGAGGAAUAUUGGUCAAUGGACGUAAGUCUGAACCAGCCAAGUAGCGUGCAGGAUUGACGGCCCUAUGGGUUGUAAACUGCUUUUGUUGGGGAGUAAAGUGGGGCACGUGUGCCCCUUUGCAUUUACCCUUCGAAUAAGGACCGGCUAAUUCCGUGCCAGCAGCCGCGGUAAUACGGAAGGUCCAGGCGUUAUCCGGAUUUAUUGGGUUUAAAGGGAGUGUAGGCGGUCUGUUAAGCGUGUUGUGGAAUUUAUGUGCUCAACAUCUACCUUGCAUCGUGUACUGGUGGACUUGA